AACUUUCAGCAACGGAUCUCUUGGCUCUCGCAUCGAUGAAGAACGCAGCGAAAUGCGAUAAGUAAUGUGAAUUGCAGAAUUCAGUGAAUCAUCGAAUCUUUGAACGCACCUUGCACUCCUUGGUAUUCCGAGGAGCAUGCCUGUUUGAGUGUCAU
rnacentral:rRNA from 1 species